UGAAAGAAAUUUGCAUUAAACGGUGCGUUUGAGUGCGUGUUUCUUGAGUCUCUCUGCGUGGAUCUGCAGAAGUGUUAGAAGAUGCAGUGGUACUUCGUCGCUGCGCUCCUCACCGUUCUCACCAGUUCUCAGGGAAUACUCACAACCCUCUCGCAAAGUAACGGAGAGUACAAAUAUGAUUACGCUACGGUCCCAUUUCUCGCCGAGGUUUUCAAGCUUGCGGUGUCAUGUUUUUUACUGUGGAGGGAAUGCCAAAAGUCACCCCUGCCAAAGAUGACGACGGAGUGGAAAACGGUGGCUUUAUUCCCUAUUCCCUCGGUUAUAUAUCUGAUCCACAAUAAUGUGCAGUUUGCUACACUCACUUAUGUGGACACUUCCACCUAUCAGAUAAUGGGAAAUUUGAAGAUUGUUACCACUGGGGUGCUAUUCAGGAUGUUUUUGGGUAGGAGGCUUUCUAACUUGCAGUGGAUGGCUAUUGUGUUGUUGGCUGUCGGGACAACCACUAGUCAGGUUAGGGGCUGUGGAGAGACUUCCUGUGAAUCCCUUUUCUCAGCACCAAUUCAGGGAUACAUGUUAGGAGUUCUAUCUGCUUGUCUCUCAGCAUUAGCUGGAGUUUAUACUGAGUUCUUGAUGAAGAAAAACAAUGACAGCUUAUACUGGCAGAAUAUGCAGUUGUACACGUUUGGAACACUUUUCAACAUGGCAAGACUACUUGUGGAUGAUUUCAGAGGUGGAUUUGAAAAUGGGCCUUGGUGGCGACGUAUUUUUGAUGGAUACACUAUCACGACCUGGAUGGUGGUAUUGAAUUUGGGUUCUACUGGUCUUUUAGUUUCAUGGUUAAUGAAACACGCUGAUAAUAUUGUGAAGGUCUAUUCCACAUCAAUGGCAAUGCUGCUAACAAUGAUACUUUCACUAUUUCUCUUCAACUUCAAACCUACAUUGCAGCUUUUCUUGGGCAUUAUCAUUUGUAUGAUGUCUCUACACAUGUAUUUUGCCCCACCAAACAUGCUCUUGGAUAUGCCAAUAACUGUUAAACCAGACGAAGAGAAGCUCAUUGAAGUUUCUGUUGAUAGAAGACCACAUUCAUGAUGUUGUAUUGACGUCUGAAUACAAGGCUUGGUACUCUGAACUGAAUGGAGUAUCAAUUUGAACGUGAUAUUUCAGUUUUUUUGGGUAAUAUAAUUUGUUCUUUCCCAGGUAUUCCUAUAAGGCCUAUUAAAGUCAAUAGUAGAGCAGCAGAAUGCUGAAUAUUAUUCCACGCUGCAUUGGUUCAGUGACUUUGUAGAGCAAAGGCAUCUUCGGUGGUGUGACUUAAACUCCAUAUGACAAAUUCGGAAAUCCCUUGUGUUGCCUGUGUUUAAGUAUAUUAGAAGGAUGUUGAAGGAAAAAAUUUGUUGAAUGAAAGUGAGCAGAAUUUGGUUUAGACGGAAAUGUAAUUUUGCUAUUGGCUUUUGUUAAGUCUGUAACUUCUCUAGCUGGUAAGUGAGUGAUAGAGGUGUUAUCCAUUGACAUAAAGUCACAUGAAGUCAAACCAACAAUGUAGUCCAUCAUUCUACCUGAUUACUGUACUCACUCAGUAAUUCUUCUCCAUUAAUGAAUUUAAGUAGAGUUGUUUUGCAGUUUAA